AUGUCAGCCACGCAUUCAGCCACCAGGUGUGAUGAACAUGUCGGACAUACUGUUCAGCCACCAUCAGCACAAGCAGUACAAGAACUAGUUGAUUCAUUCUCAGAUCAAAAGCUUGAUGCCACAAAAACAAAAUCGAUGCAUGGUGGGAUCGAGGAACAAGCAAAGAACGACACAAUCUUUAGCCCCAAGCAAGUUGGGUUAUGCAGAUCAUACAUGGAGAUGUUGACGGACGAGGAAGAAGAUGUGGUUUCAUACCGUCGUUUCUGGGAAUACACUUGGGGUGGAAAGUGUGGUUCCUUCGAAGACUACACCUUUUUGACUCCCACACUUUAUACAUAUGGAACCAUCCCAGCACAUGCUGGCCCCUUCAGUUUCUUGCAGAUCUUCUCCAUCAAAGUCAUGGAGAAUGAAAUUUGGAGAAUCAGGUGGCCAGUGGAGGUAUAUGGCUUCAUUGCCGCUCGAGACAAUUUGGAUCGCAAUCGCAACCUUCUGUUCAGCCAGACAAGGGAUGACCCCCAAAUUCUCACUCAACAGGAUUCAUUUUUGCAAUUGACUGGCCUGUGUCGCCCAAUUGCGUUGAUCGACCCUGUUGUCUUUGAGAUUCAACUAAAAGUGAAGGGCACAGCAGAGUGUGAAGAUGAAACAUUGAUGGCUCGAGCGUUUGAGUAUGGAUAUGGUUUUGGAGAAUAUGGUGAGCUUGCCUGUCGUCGUUGGGCUGGUAAUUUUUGCACACUAGAGAUCACCUCUGCGCUACUUUCCAGAACGGUUGCAGCCACUAUCAUCUCUGCUGAUGUUAUUAAAGGGUCAUGGCCUGGUGAUUAUAGAGGUCGUGUGGUUGCCCGUACUGCCAACAUUUGCUUCCUCAGUUACUAUCUGUAG
rnacentral:rRNA from 1 species